UUUUAGGUUUUUUCACUGAUAAGUUUCAAGAUAUUUUAAAUUUGAUAAACGUUAUGGCUGGAAUAAGUAGAUUACAUGGUAGAAUAAGCAUAGUUACAGGCGCUGCAAGCGGGAUUGGUUAUUAUGUUGCAAAACGCUUUGCAGAAGAAGGCUCCAAAGUUAUGCUGGUAGACUGUAACGAAACUUUACUGGAAUCUGCGCACGCGGAGUUAAACGGAAAAUUUGAGGGCCAGGUUCAUUACUACUGUGGAGAUGUGUCCAAAAAAACUUGCGCGGAAGACGUCGUUUGCAAAACUAAGUCCCUAUUUGGCAGCAAAUCUACUGUAUUAGUAAACUCGGCUGGAAUCACGCGCGAAAAAAGAAUUCUAGAUACAACAGAGGAGGAGUUAAAAGUAGUCAUGGACGUUAAUUUUAGCGGCGUUUUCUAUUUCUGUCAAGCUUUUUGCAACGAGUUGUUAAGAAAAGAUGAAAAAAUGGGAUCCAUAAAUGCUAGUAUUGUAAAUAUCUCUAGUAUGGCAGGAAAAGCUGGUAUGUUUCAUCAUUCAAACUAUGCUGCAUCUAAAGCUGCGGUGAUUGGUUUCACUAAGACAUCAUGUAUAGAGUUUGGAAAACUCGGUAUCCGUACUAAUGCAGUUUUACCAGGGUUUAUAACAACUCCAAUGACAGAUGUUAUGACCCCUGCGUAUUUGGAUGCAGCAAUUAAAGCUACACCACUCAGAAGACUUGGCCAUCCUGAAGAAAUAGCCAAUGUUUGCCUGUUCUUGGCCUCAGAUGAGAGCUCCUAUGUAAAUGGUGCAUGUAUUGAAGUAUCUGGAGGAAUGGGGGCUUAGAAUUAGACUCGAAAUGAAAAAAAAUGAGAAAAAGAAUUGACUAAAAUUUCAUAAACUCUAAAUGAAAAAAAAAUUAAUAAAAUUUAUAAACUCAAAAUGAAGAAAUGAAUAGAAACAGGAAUAUGGGAUGAAUUUACAAAAAUUGUUGCAAGGUUAUGAAUAAGAAAGAACUGAACUAGAAAAUGUCAAUGUGUGAAAAACAUGUACCUUCAAGUAUUUUAGCAAUACUAUGCAAUUUCUAUUUAAUGUUGGCAAAAUAUUUUUAAUUUUUAUAAUUGUGUGUUUUAAUUAACGUAUUUAAGCAGUAACAAUUUAGUUCUAUUUUGAUAUUUAUUUUAAUCAUGUUUUAUUCUGUAUGUUAUGUCUUAGUAAAUAUUAGUGUUUUUAAUUUAUUUUGUAAUUUAUUGCAAUAAUUUGUUCUAAAUAAACCUAAUUUCUAG